CUCAGGUUUCCACAUCCGCUGCAUGUUUUCUGCAUCCUCUACAUUUCGCAGUUACUGAGUUAGUUUGUACAUUAUUGAAGAAACAGUUUUAUCGUCAUUCAUCCAUCGUUCUUUAGAUAAUUAGCAUUGGAGAAUUAGCACUUGACUGGUCUUAUGGUCACAGUUGGUUGCAUCCUGUAUAAUUUAAUCACAAUAUAAUUACUGGAGAAUUAGCAGUGGUUAAGCUAAAGGUCACAGUUGGCUGCAUACUUUAUAUCCUGGUCACAGUGAAGACCUAAAACUUGGUUUUAUUCCUGGAUACAUAAACAGAUUAGACUUGGUAGGAGUCAUUAGAAAAUCAAGAAGAAUAUAUUGUAGAUGUAUUAGAUAUUUUAUUCAUAAUAAUAUCAUUUUGUAUGAUCUUAAUUAUGGAUGUAAAUAAACAUGAAGAUGCAAAGGCGUACAUGUAUGCCCUUGGCCAAGAGCAAAUGAACUUUUUAAAAUGAUACAUUUU